rnacentral:rRNA from 1 species
AGUGAACGCUGGCGGCAGGCCUAACACAUGCAAGUCGAGCGGCAGCGCGUCCGACCACCCUCGGGUGGUCGGAUGGCGGCGAGCGGCGGACGGGUGAGGAAUGCAUCGGAAUCUGCCUCGUUGUGGGGGAUAACGUAGGGAAACUUACGCUAAUACCGCAUACGACCUACGGGUGAAAGUGGGGGACCUUCGGGCCUCACGCGAUGAGAUGAGCCGAUGCCGGAUUAGCUAGUUGGCGGGGUAAAGGCCCACCAAGGCGACGAUCCGUAGCUGGUCUGAGAGGAUGAUCAGCCACACUGGAACUGAGACACGGUCCAGACUCCUACGGGAGGCAGCAGUGGGGAAUAUUGGACAAUGGGGGCAACCCUGAUCCAGCCAUGCCGCGUGAGUGAAAAAGGCCU